UUGGAAUUAUGAAUUUUUAUUGCUUUCGUUCUAUGUUUAUUUUAUUGCACCAGAAUUAUGAAUUAUUCUGGUUGAUUUUGUUUUAUGUUUGAUCGAUGAGAAACUAUAGGAAAGGAAAAGGGAACCCAUUUUCUUGGCCAGAACAAAAAGGUUAUCUGAAGCAUUCCUUUGCAUAGCAGCUCCGCAUCCUCACGGAGCUUAACUGCCUCUUGAUAAGAUAGAGGGGGCUUUCCAUCUCUGAAAUGCUUGACAGUUUUUUCGCCAUUGAACUCUUCGUGCAUGCUUUGUAGAGCGUCGCUAAGUGCUGGUUAAUUAGAUUAGUUGACUCUGCUGAUUGUAGUUCUACUUGCAUUGACAGUGCACUUUUUUUUUUCGUCUUCCCUCGCUUCCUUAUCAGGAUUCUUGUUUUAUUUAACUAGACACCCUCCAUUGUUUUACGAAUGCAUUCCUCUAUUUGAAAUUUGAGCUUCUUAUCUUUCAGAAUUCGUGUUAUGUAAUUAUUUUGGGGAUGACACCUUCAUUUAAUUUUAUUAGUUCCACAAGUUUUAUACUGUCUGUUUACUUGGUCACAUGAUGCAUGGUCAAGAAAAGGAAAACCAAUAUUGACCUCUGAGGGGAGAAUAUAUGUUUGUGCUUGAAAAAAAAUAUGUUUGCGCUUGAAAAAUCUUCUAGAUUUUAAGUUCGUCUUUUGAAAAAUUGCACAUAUAACAUAAAACCUUUGUUUCCCAAAAAUAUCAAUUUCGGUCUUCUUUCCUUUUGUCUAUAGAGUGACUGGAUUGGAUAAUGUGAUCUUUUGAAUUGUAUUUAAUAAUUUUAAAACUAGAGAAGGAUGGGCGAUUAGCUUUUUCUGUUAUUUGUUUUGAAAAUUGAGCGAUGUCAUAAAAGAAUUUUGAUAUCCACCAAUUCAGUCAUUGCAGUAGACAGCGUAAAGGAAAAAGACCAUGAUCAAUGAAGUUUUUUGGAAAGCAUAUAUCAACUCUCAUUCAAAUUUGUCAAGGGGGAGCCUGAAGUUUAGGUAAUUUUUAAUAUACAAAACAUCUACCUUAACCUUUCUUUAAAAUUCUAUUCAUAUUAAGAUCAGAUUUAGUAUAAUUUGUCUCCUAGUCUUAAUGUCAUUGAGGAAUUGAUUUAUAUUUAUUAUGAAAUCUCUAGUCUACGUUAUUAAUUCAGGCUAGUUACGCACGUGUAUUCUGCAUUCAAGAUGAAUAUAUGAAAUUAAUUAUUGAAUAAUCAAAUAGAUUGAAUGCGGUUAGCUAAAGGCAGUAUCAAACAGUUUUGGAUCUUGAUACGAAGAUUCAGUGUCAUCUGUUUAAUUUGCUUGGAGGCAUGAUUUAGUUGCAUUAGUUCACUGAAUGUGACCUUUUAUGUUAACUAGUAUAAAUCUUUUCUUGUUUAUAUACUGCUCAGGUGCUUCAAAAUACUUGUGAAGUUUUAUGGUUCAACUGUUCAGAGUGCUUAUAAUGUAUGGAAAUGCUGAAAUGUCUUCUCAUGUAUUGUGAACGUCUAUGAAUACAUAUCUAGAUGCUUUCUGAUUAAUGAGGCCAUCCUUUAGUGAACAAAUAUAAAAGAUGGGGACAGUUCAAUUGUCAUGGGAGCCUAAUUCAUGACCUCUUGCUCUGCAGGCAGGUGCGCUGCUGAGAUUAACAUACUGCUAUAUGAGGCUGAGAAUAAUAUCUACUCUGUUAAUGCAUUAUUGUUAUGUGCUCAGACAAUAAAAGGGGGUUUGAUUUGGAAUUCCAUGUUACGCACCCAACAUAUUGUUAUGUAUUAUAAGCAUCCUUGACGAUAUCCACCUUUUGAUCCUGUAAUCCAUUUGCCUAUGAUCUUUUUCUUAUGAAUAUAGAUAAAAGGCAAGACGAGCUCAGCCCUUCAAGUCAGACACAGCACUGAAGUAUUAUUUAGUAUCUGAUGCAGGGGUGCAAUUUUAAUGGUUAAUUCCUUAACAUUUUUGCAGUAUUCUAUUGCGUUGAUGUAAGCAAGACAGAAUAGAAGCUAUGUCACUUUUAACAAAUUUUCCUUUUGUAAAGCCAGGUUUACGUUCUCUUACUUUCUGAUUACUGAGAAACAAAUGUUCUCAAAUUACUUACAUUCAUUUGGAGCAGGAACCAUUUUACUUUUCUGGUGCACUUAAUCGUUGUAGGAGUUUUGUUUACUUGGUGGGGCAGAUCUGCCAUAUGCAUUUAGUACUUUAUUUACCUAAGUGAAUUUAUGGACUGUUAAGAAAGUAUACAUGGCUCUACAAAUAGGUUUUUUUUUUUUUGGGGGGGGGGGGGGGGGGGGGAGGGAGGGGGUUUGUCUGGCACAUGCACUUGUGGUGCCCUUGAUUAUAAAAUACUAUUAUACUGUUAAUAGAAGAUGGUACGUGUGGGUGUGUGUACUUUCUGCAUGAGUGCGCAUAUUUUGGUUUUGAUUUUGUCCACUGACUGAGGUCAGUGUGGUGCUUGGAUUGACCGAAUUGCAGAGGUCAGUUUCCACCCCUAUGUUUAUGUGGUUGGUUUUAAAUACAGCCUUUGCUGCUAUAGGCAUUGUACAGAUUAGCGGACUCCCUGGGGUCAUUUGCAAGCUUGACGUUGAAAAGUGUAUGACGUUCUGAUUUGGGUUUCCCUAUAAAAAGGACCAUGGAUGGACUUACAAACAUGGGAUCAGUUUAUUUUGCCAAUGUCAUUGUUGUAAAAUGGCCGUGGGUGGUAAUUUAAAGGGUUGGUUGUGGUCAAUACUCUCUGUCAAUUCUGCAUUUGUCAUUUCCUUUUCUUGACUUCAUCUCAUGUCGUGGUUUUCUGCAAAUAUGGGAAGUGGGGAUAGAUGAUUUAAAGAUUAAAAGAGAUGUUGGAGGGUCCCAGAUCUAUCUGACAUGUCUCUUGGUAGAAAGACAUCAUUGGGAUCCAUUUGCGGAAAGAAACUAGAGCUUGCUAACUUGCAGGAUGAUUGGAGACCUUUAAUGAUGAGUCAUGGUUUUAGUUGAAAGGAUAUGAUAGGAUUGCCAUUCUGAGGAGAGAAUGAAUCGUGCCCAGAAAGGCAGAAAGUAGUCUUGAAGAAAAAUGAAACUUAGAAACUGUUUCAAGGUGUUGCUUUAGAUUAAAGUUAUGCGGACUUCCAAGAUACCUCACUUCUUCUGGCCUAAGAAAACAAAGCGGGCCGUCGUUCUGCGAUGUUGUCGCCAACUGAAGGAACUCUUUCAAGACGAAUUCAAUUCAAUCACGUGAUGGAAUGCGAAGAUACUAUUUAUUUUUAAGAAAUAUUAUAUAAAGAGAUUAUAUAAAAAUAAAUUUAUAAAUUAAUAUGAUUU